UUACCGGGAUCACCAACCGCAUCAAUACUAGCGUCACCUCCAUUUCUUCCCCGAGUCAUUUUCACGUUAUCAGGAUCGCCAACAUCAUCUUUACGGUCACUGUCUUCAUUACCACGGUGACUGUCAUCGUCACCAAGAUCACCGACAUUUUCACCGGUACUUACUGAGCUCUCGUUCUGUGCAGGAGGCCGACAGUCUUUCGAGUCGGGGACGGGGGAGAGAGGAAGGAAAAGAUCUAAGAAUGAAGAGCCCGCAGCAAAACCAGUAAAACUGGGCACAGAUACCGUCUGAGAGCAAGGAUCAAAGACACCGGCCACAAGACGGAAUAUAAUUUGGGAAGACGCACAUGGUGAGAACCAGCAUGGUCUAUCGGCCUGAGAAUCGAGAGGCCUAAAUUCUAACCCCAGCCCUGCCGCUUGCCCACC